GGAUGUGAGGGCGAUCUGGCUGCGACAUCUGUCACCCCAUUGAUCGCCAGGGUUGAUUCGGCUGAUCUGGCUGGCUAGGCGGGUGUCCCCUUCCUCCCUCACUGCUCCAUGUGCGUCCCUCCCGAAGCUGCGCGCUCGGUCGAAGAGGACGACCUUCCCCGAUAGAGGAGGACCGUUCUUCGGUCAAGGGUAUACGAGUAGCUGCGCUCCCCUGCUAGAACCUCCAAACAAGCUCUCAAGAAAUAAUACAGAGGGAACCUGUGUACCCUUUACCCAGCUGACCCCAAUGGUAACACAUCACAAAACUAUAGGACAAUGUAACAAUCAGGACAUUG
ensembl:misc_RNA 7SK 7SK RNA